GAUGAACGCUGGCGGCGUGCCUAAUACAUGCAAGUCGAGCGGACGGACGAGAAGCUUGCUUCUCUGAUGUUAGCGGCAGACGGGUGAGUAACACGUGGACAACCUACCUAUAAGACUGGGAUAACUUCGGGAAACCGUAGCUAAUACCGGAUAAUAUUUUGAACCGCAUGGUUCAAAAGUGAAAGACGGUCUUGCUGUCACUUAUAGAUGGAUCCGCGCUGCAUUAGCUAGUUGGUAAGGUAACGGCUUACCAAGGCAACGAUGCAUAGCCGACCUGAGAGGGUGAUCGGCCACACUGGAACUGAGACACGGUCCAGACUCCUACGGGAGGCAGCAGUAGGGAAUCUUCCGCAAUGGGCGAAAGCCUGACGGAGCAACGCCGCGUGAGUGAUGAAGGUCUUCGGAUCGUAAAACUCUGUUAUUAGGGAAGAACAUAUGUGUAAGUAACUGUGCACAUCUUGACGGUACCUAAUCAGAAAGCCACGGCUAACUACGUG
rnacentral:rRNA from 1 species